AUGUGUGCAAGGCAUAUAUAUGCAAACUGGAAAAAGAAACAUCCUGACCAUGACCUACAAAAGAGGUUCUGGAGGUGUGCAAAAGCUCCCAACCAAAUCUUGUUCAACUACAAUAGAGCUAGGUUGGCUCAGAUAACACCAGAAGGAGCAAGAGAUAUGAUGAACACAAGUCCAGAGCAUUGGAGUAGAGCACACUUGAAGAUUGGCUCUAAUUGUGAUUCAGUCGACAACAUGUGUGAGUCUUUCAACAAUCUCGUACUUGAGGCAAGAUUCUUGGCUGUCAUUUCAAUGUUUGAGUGGAUAAGAAGGAAGAUGAUGGUAAGGAUACAAGAAAAUAUUUGCAAGAGCUUGACUUGGAAUGGAACAAUUUGUCCUAACAUUUUCAAAAAGCUCAAGCAAAAACAUGAUUAG
rnacentral:rRNA from 1 species